GACGAACGCUGGCGGCGUGCUUAACACAUGCAAGUCGAACGGAAAGGCCUCUUUCGGGGGGUACUCGAGUGGCGAACGGGUGAGUAACACGUGAGUAACCUGCCCUUGACUUUGGGAUAACUUCAGGAAACUGGGGCUAAUACCGGAUAGGAGCUCCUGCUGCAUGGUGGGGGUUGGAAAGUUUCGGCGGUUGGGGAUGGACUCGCGGCUAAUCAGCUUGUUGGUGGGGUAGUGGCUUACCAAGGCUUUGACGGGUAGCCGGCCUGAGAGGGUGACCGGCCACAUUGGGACUGAGAUACGGCCCAGACUCCUACGGGAGGCAGCAGUGGGGAAUAUUGCACAAUGGGUGGAAGCCUGAUGCAGCAACGCCGUGUGCGGGAUGACGGCCUUCGGGUUGUAAACCGCUUUCGCUCAUGACGAAGCUUUGUGUGACGGUAGUGGGUAAAGAAGCACCGGCUAACUACGUG
rnacentral:rRNA from 1 species